GUGCCAGCCGCCGCGGUAAUACGGAGGGUGCGAGCGUUGUCCGGAAUCACUGGGCGUAAAGGGCGCGUAGGUGGCUGCUUAAGCGUGUGGUGAAAGCUCAGGGCUCAACCCUGAGUCGGCCAUGCGAACUGGGUAGCUGGAGCACUGUAGAGGCAGGUGGAAUUCCGGGUGUAGCGGUGGAAUGCGUAGAGAUCCGGAAGAACACCGGUGGCGAAGGCGGCCUGCUGGGCAGUUGCUGACACUGAGGCGCGACAGCGUGGGGAGCAAACAGGAUUAGAAACCCUUGUAGUCC
rnacentral:rRNA from 1 species